AACGAACGCUGGCGGCAGGCCUCAUACAUGCAAGUCGAGCGGUCCUUCGGGACAGCGGCGAACGGGUUAGUAACGCGUGGGAACGUGCCCAGAUCUACGGAAUAGCCACUGGAAACGGUGAGUAAUACCGUAUACGCCCUUCGGGGGAAAGAUUUAUCGGAUUUGGAUCGGCCCGCGUUAGAUUAGGUAGUUGGUGGGGUAACGGCCUACCAAGCCUACGAUCUAUAGCUGGUUUUAGAGGAUGAUCAGCAACACUGGGACUGAGACACGGCCCAGACUCCUACGGGAGGCAGCAGUGGGGAAUCUUGGACAAUGGGGGCAACCCUGAUCCAGCCAUGCCGCGUGAGUGAAGAAGGCCCUAGGGUCGUAAAACUCUUUCGCCUGUGAUGAUAAUGACAGUAGCAGGUAAAGAAACCCCGGCUAACUCCGUGCCAGCAGCCGCCGUAACAC
rnacentral:rRNA from 1 species